CUACGGGGGGCAGCAGUCGAGAAUAGUCUACAAUGGACGAAAGUCUGAUAGUGCGACGCCGCGUGGAUGAAGAAGCAUUUCGGUGUGUAAAGUCCUUUUCUGUGUGAGCAAUGUUUUCCAGGUUAAUAGCUUGGAGAAAGCGAUAUUAACACAGGAAUAAGCUCCGGCUAACUCCGUGCCAGCAGCCGCGGUAACACGGGGGGAGCAAGCGUUGUCCGGAAUUACUAGGCGCAAAGGGUAAGUAGGCGGAAUUGUAAGUCAGAUGGUAAAGGCACCGGCUCAACCGGUGUAUGGCAUUUGAUACUGUAAUUCUAGAGUAAGGUGGGGGAAGACGGAAUUCCUGGUGUAGCGGUGGAAUGCGCAGAUAUCAGGAGGAACACCAGAGGCGCAGGCGGUCUUCUAUACCAUUACUGACGCUCAAUUACGAAGGUGUGGGUAUCAAACAGGAUUAGAUACCCCCGUAGUC
rnacentral:rRNA from 1 species